GUGUAAGUAUAAAUAAUUUUACUUUGAAACUGCGAAUGGCUCAUUAUAUCAGUUAUAGUUUAUUAGAAAUAUUUUACUACUUGGAUAACCGUAGUAAUUCUAGGGCUAAUACAUGAAUAAACCCUCAACUUCGGAAGAGGUGUGUUUAUUAGUAUGAAAACCAUAUAUCUUCGGAUAUAAUAGUGAGUAAUAAUAACCUUUCAUAUCGUAUGUCGUAAGAUAACGAUAGUUCUUUCAAGUUUCUGCCCUAUCAGCUUUCGAUGGUAGUAUAUGGGACUACCAUGGCAGUAACGGGUAACGAAGAAUUUGGGUUCGAUUUCGGAGAGGGAGCCUGAGAGAUGGCUACCACAUCCAAGGAAGGCAGCAGGCGCGUAAAUUACCCAAUCCUGACAUAGGGAGGUAGUGACAAUAAAUCACAAUGCGGAACUUUUUGUUU
rnacentral:rRNA from 1 species